rnacentral:lncRNA from 1 species
GUCCAAGUGUGCAGUUAAGACCACAGCCUGGAUUCUCAGUAGAGUGUUUUUUUUAAAUGAUUACUGGUAUUUUUCUAGCAUAUUUUUCACCCAAAAUGUAGAAUUGAUGAUAACCAAGUUUUAGUUACCUUAUAUGUAUCACCUGUCCUCGCCAAAGUCAUAUCACAUUCCCUAAGCCUUUUCCAUGUUGCCCAAUUUUUCCUGCCUGGAAUUCUCUCCCUCUCAAAAGUUUUCCAAAUCAAUGAAACUGAAGUCCUACUUUCUUGGUAAAACCUGAAUAUUCUAGGCCAAGGAGACUGUUCUCACUUCUGAAUGACUGCAGUGUUUCCUUAUGUCACACCCUUUCCCUUAGUCACAUAAAACACCAAAUUGGAACUGUCGCACGUUUUUAAAAAUAUGUAUAAAAAUGUUCAAUGUAUGUAUUUUGUCUCUAACUUGUAUAUAAACUCCAUUAGUCCUAACAAUAUGUAUUAUACAUCCUUGUAUCUCUUCUUGCCCACAUGUGUGCAUCAUGCUGAGAGAAAAUUGGUCAAAUAAAUUCCUAAAGUUUGUUAAGAGGAGGACUGAGGGACCUGUAGUCAACCUGGUGGCUGGAACAUCUGAGUCAUCUCCCCAAACUCCACAAAAUUGACAGUAAAGAAAUGACAAAAGUUGAAACUCAUCCAACAGAGAAAAGAGACAUGAAGGGCAAAAGAGAUGACAUGAACAUUUCGAACACAAGGCUUGAUACAGGGGAGAACGUGAAAAAGAUGGCAACACGAUGUUCCACGAUAAAACUGACACAAAAAACAAUGCGAAAUUUGUCUAAGAGAGGUUCAGCAAGCAUGAGAAAAACAUCUGAUAUCUCUCGGAGCCCGCCAAGUUCACAGCUUACAGUGCCAGAGUAA